rnacentral:rRNA from 1 species
UACGAAGGGGGCUAGCGUUGCUCGGAAUGACUGGGCGUAAAGGGCGCGCAGGCGGCUGCUCAAGUCAGGCGUGAAAGGCCUGGGCUCAACCCGGGAAUUGCGCUUGAGACUGGGCUGGCUUGAGUGCGGGAGAGGAUGGUGGAAUUCCCAGUGUAGAGGUGAAAUUCGUAGAUAUUGGGAAGAACACCGGUGACGAAGGCGGCCAUCUGGACCGCAACUGACGCUGAGGCGCGAAAGCGUGGGGAGCAAACAGG